UACAGAGGAUGCAAGCGUUAUCCGGAAUGAUUGGGCGUAAAGCGUCUGUAGGUGGCUUUUUAAGUCCGCCGUCAAAUCCCAGGGCUCAACUCUGGACAGGCGGUGGAAACUACCAAGCUGGAGUACGGUAGGGGCAGAGGGAAUUUCCGGUGGAGCGGUGAAAUGCGUAGAUAUCGUCAGGAACGCCAAUGGUGAAGACAGGUAACUGGGCUAGUUCUGACACUGAGGCACGAAAGCGUGGGGAGCGAACGGG
rnacentral:rRNA from 1 species